rnacentral:rRNA from 1 species
UACGUAGGUGGCAAGCGUUGUCCGGAUUUACUGGGCGUAAAGAGCGCGCAGGCGGUCGUUCAAGUCGCGUGUGAAAGCCCCCGGCUCAACUGGGGAGGGUCACGCGAUACUGAUCGACUGGAAGGCAGGAGAGGGUAGUGGAAUUCCCGGUGUAGUGGUGAAAUGCGUAGAUAUCGUAAGGAAGACCAGUGGCGAAGGCGGGUCUCUGGACAGUUCCUGACGCUGAGGCACGAAGGCCAGGGGAGCAAACGGG